CGUCGCGUGAAGGAUGAAAUCUUUCGGGAUGUAAACUUCUUUUAUCAGGGAAGAAACAAAUGACGGUACCUGAUGAAUAAGCCCCGGCUAACUACGUGC
rnacentral:rRNA from 1 species